ACCCCCCGGUUCAAUGAAGCCGGCGGACUCUAGGUCACUACAGUUCUAGAUUAUAUUUCACUUCGCUGUACUUGGUUCUUUCUACCAUGGGAAAACUGUCAGCUGACCACUGUGAAGUUAUUUGGAAAAGAACUAGAGGCAGGAGGCCAACUUGCUUUGUAUGUGGAACCAAAAUCGAAACAUAUAAUGGGAAAGCUAGUGAUGUAGUAGCAUGAUGAAUAAAACUGGACUCUGCCCUUACACAGUAGUAACAGCAAGCCGACAUUCUAGGACUCACAUGAUGCCUCUGGUUCUGCCUUUCUCCUGGGUAUGAGAUGGGACAUGUGAUGUUCUAUUUAUAUUCUAUUACCUAGCCAUGUGCAGACACAGCAGCCCCAGUAAAAGCUUAUAGAAAGUUG
rnacentral:lncRNA from 1 species